GCCCCUUUAGCUCGCGGUCAUAGCGAGCGGUUCAUAACCGCCAGGUCGCUGGUUUAAAUCCAGCAAGGGCCACCC
rnacentral:tRNA from 11 species